AUUGAACGCUGGCGGCAUGCCUUACACAUGCAAGUCGAACGGCAGCACGGGUGCUUGCACCUGGUGGCGAGUGGCGAACGGGUGAGUAAUACAUCGGAACGUACCUUAUCGUGGGGGAUAACGCAGCGAAAGCUGUGCUUAUACCGCAUACGCCCUGAGGGGGAAAGCGGGGGAUCGCAAGACCUCGCGCGAUUAGAGCGGCCGAUGCCUGAUUAGCUUGUUGGUGGGGUAAAAGCCCACCAAGGCGACGAUCAGUAGCUGGUCUGAGAGGACGAUCAGCCACACUGGAACUGAGACACGGCCCAGACUCCUACGGGAGGCAGCAGUGGGGAAUUUUGGACAAUGGGGGCAACUCUGAUCCAGCAAUGCCGCGUGAGUGAAGAAGGCCUUCGGGUUGUAAAGCUCUUUUGUCAGGGAAGAAACACCGGCUCUAACACAGUCUGGGAAUGACGGUACCUGAAGAAUAAGCACCGGCUAACUACGUGCCAGCCGCCGCGGUAA
rnacentral:rRNA from 1 species